GACGUAGGGCGCGAGCGUUGUCCGGAUUUAUUGGGCGUAAAGAGCUCGUAGGCGGCUUGUCGCGUCGUCCGUGAAAACCCACAGCUCAACUGUGGGCUUGCGGUCGAUACGGGCAGGCUAGAGUUCGGUAGGGGAGACUGGAAUUCCAGGUGUAGCGGUGAAAUGCGUAGAUAUCAGGAGGAACACCGGUGGCGAAAGCGGCUCACUGGACCGUUACUGACGCUGAGGUGCGAAAGCUAGGGGAGCAAACGGG
rnacentral:rRNA from 1 species